rnacentral:rRNA from 1 species
UGGGGAAUAUUGCACAAUGGAGGGAACUCUGAUGCAGCGACGCCGCGUGAGUGAUGAAGGAAUUCGUUUCGUAAAACUCUGUUCUAUGGGAAGAAAAGGACUGUACCAUAGGAGAAAGCUCCGGCUAAAUACGUGCCAGCAGCCGCGGUAAUACGUAUGGAGCGAGCGUUGUCCGGAAUUAUUGGGCGUAAAGGGUGCGCAGGCGGCUUUACAAGUUGGAUGUGAAAUAUUGUGGCUCAACCACAAACGUGCAUCCAAAACUGCAAAGCUUGAGUUAAGGAGAGGUAAGUGGAAUUCCUGGUGUAGCGGUGGAAUGCGUAGAUAUCAGGAGGAAUACCGGUGGCGAAGGCGACUUACUGGACUUAAACUGACGCUAAGGCACGAAAGAGUGGGGAGCAAACAGG